rnacentral:rRNA from 1 species
CGGCAAGACAGAAGAGGCAGACGACGGAUGCCUCGGCGCAAUGUGCCGAUGACGGACGCGGCAACGCGGCGAUACGCGUGGGGGAGCGGCAUGCACGCACUGAUCCCACGAUUUCCUAAUGGGGCAACCCGCUCGCACUUCGCGAGCACCUGCAUUUCGCAGGAGGGCACCGGGCCAACUGAAACAUCUCACGUAGCCCGAGGAAGAGACAUUAUUCCCGUAGUAGCGGCGAGCGAACCGGGACACGCCCAAACCACGCCCGUGCCAAGGCGGCAGCCGUUGCGCGCGUGGGGUUGGAGGACCGUGCACCCCGUCCUGCCGGACGGAACGUGCGGCGCUGAUGACGACCCGAAGGCGUUUGGAAGACGCCGCCAUAGACCGUGACAGCCGGGUAGGGGUAUUCGUCAGCACCACGGCGCGGUUCCUGAGUACGGCCGGGCACGAAAUACCUGGUCGGAAGCUGGGGGGCCCACCUCCCAAGGCUAUACUACACAUUGCGACCGAUAGCGCACAGUACCGUGAGGGAACGGUGAAAAGUACCCCGGCGAGGGGAGUGAAAUAGACCCUGAAAUCGUCUGCUUACAUGCAGUCGAAGGGAGCAUCCGCUCCUGACGGCGUGCCUUUUGGAGUAUGACCCGGCGAGUUACCCGACGUGGCUUGGUUAAGGCAGCUACAGCCGAAGCCGCAGCGAACGCGCGUCUGAAUAGGGCGUCUGGUCGCGUCGGGUAGACCCGAAACCGUGUGAGCUACCCAUGGUCAGGCUGAAGCGCGCCUAACCGCGCGUGGAGGGCCGCACCGGUGUGGGUUACAAACCGCUCGGAUGAACUGUGGGUAGGGGUGAAAUGCCAAUCGAACACGGAGAUAGCUGGUUCUCCCCGAAAUGCAUUGAGGUGCAGCCCCGUGUUAUGGCGCUGCUGGAGGUAGAGCACUGUUGGCCUGCGGGGGUGUCACAACCUACCAAUGGCCGGCAAACUCCGAAUGCCGGUAGCGCGCCACGGGAGUGAGACGGCCGGUGCCAACGUCGGUCGUCAAAAGGGCAACAACCCAGAUCACCAGCUAAGGUCCCCAAGUCCAUGCUCAGUGCGAAAGGCUGUGGGGUCGCUCAGACAACCAGGAGGUUGGCUUAGAAGCAGCCACCCUUGAAAGAGUGCGUAACAGCUCACUGGUCGAGUGGCCCUGCGCCGACAAUGUAUCGGGACUUAAGCAUGGCACCGAAGCUGUGAAUGCCAUCAUUACGAUGGCGUGGUAGGGGAGCGUCGUGCCUCCCACGAAGCGGCCGCGGAAGCGUGCCGUGGAGGACGCACGAGUGCGAAUGCCGGGAUGAGUAACGACCAAGCGGGGUGCGAACCCCCGCCACCGCAAGCCUGAGGGUUCCGCCGCACGGGUGAUCCGCGGCGGGUUAGUCGGGCCUAAGGCGUACCCGUAUGGGGAAACCGAUGGACAACGGGUAGACAUUCCCGUACCAGGGCCAGUCGUUUGACCGAUGCGGUGCCCAGUCUGGUACGUUCCGGGGCGAGAUGAGCGCCCUGCAAGCUGGUAGGGAGCCGGGGGCGGCAAAUCCCCCCUGGCGUUGACCGAGAGGUGAUGCGCAGGCCACCCCGCAAGGGGCAGCCGAUGGAACCGAGCCACUGCUGGCACGAAAAGCCGCUAGGGAGACUGUGUCCUGCCCGUACCGCAAACCGACACAGGUAGGCUGGUCGAGUAGACUAAGGUGGACGAGCGAACCCUCGCUAAGGAACUCGGCAAAUUGACCCCGUACCUUCGGAAGAAGGGGUGCUGCGUACGCGUGAAGCCGCUUGCCGGUGGAGCGCGCGGCAGCCGCAGGGUCCAGGCCCAGGCGACUGGUUAUCACAACCACAGGUCUCUGCUCAAGCCGCAAGGCGCCGUAUAGAGGCUGAUGCCUGCCCAGUGCCGGAAGGUUAAGGGGAGGGGUGCAAGCUCCGAACCGAAGCCCCGGUAAACGGCGGCUGUAACUAUAACAGUCCUAAGGUAGCGAAAUUCCUUGUCGGGUAAGUUCCGACCCGCACGAAAGGCAUCACGAUCUGGGCACUGUCUCAGCGAGGGGCUCGGUGAAAUUGCAAGGCCGGUGAAGAUGCCGGCAACCCGCAGCAGGACAAAAAGACCCCAUGGAGCUUUACUACAGCUUGCCAUCGGUCCAGGGGUGCGGAUGCGUAGGAUAGGUGGGAGGCUGUGAGCCGGCCCUUGCGGGGGUCGGGGAGCCGACGGUGAAAUACCACUCUUCCGCGCCUUUGGGCCUCACCCGCGAUGCGGGGACGGUGGCUGGUGGGUAGUUUGACUGGGGCGGUCGCCUCCCAAAGAGUACCGGAGGCGCGCAAUGGUGCCCUCACGUGGGAUGGUCAUCCACGGGCGAGUGCAACGGCACAAGGGCGCUUGACUGCGAGGCACACAGGCCGCGCAGGGGCGAAAGCCGGUCGUAGUGAUCCCACGGUUCCAAGUGGAAGGGCCGUGGCUUAACGGAUAAAAGCUACCCUGGGGAUAACAGGCUGAUCCUCCCCAAGAGUUCAUAUCGACGGGAGGGUUUGGCACCUCGAUGUCGGCUCGUCACAUCCUGGGGCUGGAGUCGGUCCCAAGGGUUGGGCUGUUCGCCCAUGAAAGUGGCACGCGAGCUGGGUUCAGAACGUCGUGAGACAGUUCGGUCUCUAUCCGCUGUGGGCGUGUAGAGCGUUGCGCGGGGCUGGCCCUAGUACGAGAGGACCGGGCUGGACGGACCGCUGGUGGACCAGUUGUGGGGCGACCCGCACGGCUGGGUAGCUACGUCCGGGAGCAAGAACCGCUGAAAGCAUCUAAGUGGGAAAUGCGCCGCAAGAUGAACGCUCUCACUGUUUCGGACAGGUAAGGCCGCGGGGAGACGACCCGAGAGCGGCGGUAGGUGGACGCCCGGUGACGGGUGCAGCCGAGCCGGCCGCACGGCCGAGGGCUUGCCGGA